rnacentral:rRNA from 1 species
UAAAGCGGGUGAAAAGCCCGCUCGCCGGAAGACCAAGGGUUCCUGUCCAACGUUAAUCGGGGCAGGGUGAGUCGACCCCUAAGGCGAGGCCGAAAGGCGUAGUCGAUGGGAAACAGGUUAAUAUUCCUGUACUUGGUGUUACUGCGAAGGGGGGACGGAGAAGGCUAUGUUGGCCGGGCGACGGUUGUCCCGGUUUAAGCGUGUAGGCUGGUUUUCCAGGCAAAUCCGGAAAACCAAGGCUGAGGCGUGAUGA